rnacentral:rRNA from 1 species
CAGUCGCCGCGGGAAUACGUAGGGUGCAAGCGUUAUCCGGAAUUAUUGGGCGUAAAGAGCUCGUAGGCGGUCUGUCACGUCUGCUGUGAAAACGCGAGGCUCAACCUCGCGCCUGCAGUGGGUACGGGCAGACUAGAGUGCGGUAGGGGAGAUUGGAAUUCCUGGUGUAGCGGUGGAAUGCGCAGAUAUCAGGAGGAACACCGAUGGCGAAGGCAGAUCUCUGGGCCGUAACUGACGCUGAGGAGCGAAAGGGUGGGGAGCAAACAGGCUUAGAUACCCCAGUAGUCCCUGUCUCUUAUAC